AUUGUACUCCCUCCAUCCCAAAAUUCUUGUCUUAAAUUUGUCUAAAUACGGAUGUAUCUAGUUACGUUUUAGUAUUAGAUACAUCUGUAUCUAGAUAAAUCUAAGACGAGAAUUUUGGGACGGAGGGAGUAUAAU
rnacentral:pre_miRNA from 1 species